GCUUUUCCCCCAAAUUAGGCGGGUCGCCAAAAUCCUCGGUGCCCGUCCACCACUCGUACGCAAUCCCACUCCCCAUCUCCUCGCUCCCCUCCCCCGCCCACUUCACCGCCGGCGACCGCGACGGCUCAUCUCCUCCCUCCUACAUCACCGCCGCCUGCAACCACCGGCGACCUUUCUCAUGGGCUCAACCCUAUCCCCCACCCUCCCCUCACGUUCUCUCCCAGAUCGGAUCGGAUCGAGAAUCAGCAGGCCAUGGAGUUGGUGAAGUUGUCCCUCCUUCGUCAACUUGGUUAGAGGUCCAAGUUCGAGGGACCUGACGAGAAAGAGGACAAGGACCACCGGGAACCAAGACCUCCAUAUAGCCAUGGCAAUAGCCGCACCUUCCCCUUCCACAAGGUGUAGUAGGUGUUCAUGGAAAAAGACAGAAAUUUUUAGGAGAUGAGGAGUUACUGAAACAUUGGCUGCAGUGCAAGGCCUCAAUGUGGCCAAAUCAACUCAAUGGUAUGUUGUGCUGGGCACUCAAUCAUUAUGUGAAGAGUUGUGAGUUUGCACUGCUACUAUUUGAAGAAACUGUAAAUUUUGAGACUUUAGUUGCUAGGGACGGAAAGCUGGAUGUCUGGUGUAUGUUUAGUACAGGUAGAAAUUUUCUACCCUACCACUUGUUGUCGUACAUGCUGGUUCUAGUUCAUGUGUUGGAUGCCUCAGACCUAGUUACAUAAUGAUACGUCUCCAACGUAUCUACUUUUCCAAACACUUUUGCCCUUGUUUU